CCUUGCCUUGUCCUAAAAAAAUCCUAGCAUUUGUUUCCUGCCACACAACCCAAAUCAAAGCAAUACAAGUGGUUUGCCACAACACUAGGCCUCUCCUGGAGCUUCCUAAUCCCUUAUAUUUAAUGGUCAUCAUGUCACAAAUACUCUUUAGGGGAACUCGAUCCAUCUUGGCCAAAUUUAAUAAUCUGUGCCAUAACCCCAUUGUUAAAGGACAAUGAAGGAAGAGAUGAUCUACUAAAUCUCCAUGCUACAUACACAACUUAUAGAUAUUAGGACUGGGGGCUUUGUAUGGUCUUCUCAAUUGUAGUAUGUCAUUGGUGUUUACUUUCUUGUGUGCCACUAAUUAGGCAAAGGACUUGACCUUAAUAGAGACUUGAGAUUUCCAAACAAAAUUAGUAGGGAAUAUUUUGGUGUAUUUUAAAAGAGCGUAAUUGAAGGACUUUCAAAGACGAAGAACUUUUAGAUCAAUGAUUGAAGGAUUGAAUUUUUCAUUCAGUCGCUCUUAGAGUGGUCCCGAUAUUCAUUUGGAUUAGAGAACCCUUUAUUUUGAAUUUCGUAGAGUAGGGUGCACCCUCCUCUUUUUGGUGCUUCUUAAUACAUGCUUUUGUUUAUUAAAACAAAAAAAAUUAUACAAUUGAGAAGACCUUUCAAAUCCCCUAGGCCUAAUUGAUGUGUUUUAAGUAAGGAAAGCGGAGAGUAUAUUGAUCAUUUUUUAUUUUUUAUUUUUACAUUGUUUGAUAACUUUAGGGCUAUAGCAUUGUCUAUUCAAAGAAGUCAAGAUUAAUUAGGUUCCACUCAAGAGUAUAUGAGAUAUAAUGAUCAUUUUAUAUAGGGGUUUGGGAGAGCUUUAGUAGAGGCAAGACCUUUUGGCACAUAGCUUGUCACACAUUGCUUUGAAUUGUGUGGUAAAAGAGAUAUGUCAAAAUUUUUAAGGAAGAGUGGAGGAUGAUAGAGGGUUAUGGGAUUUAGUCGACUUCUAUUCCUCUUUUUGAGCCUUGUGCACCGAGGCUGUUAAAGGCAUUCCUCACAGUGUUAUCUAACUCAAUUGGCUUAUGGUGUGUAAAUCAAAAGGUUUUGGACAUCCUUGAGAGGAGUUGCGUUUGUAGUCUAAACCUUUGUAUAAACGCCUUGUAUGGUAGAGGGGGUUAAUCAUAUUAUGAUUGAGUUUUUUUAGUAAUUAUGGGGAGGACUCCUUCUCAUGUUUAAAUAAUCUUUUAGGUGCUCCCUUCUAAGGUGGAAGAGUUGUCAUUGUGAUGACAUGAGAGUUUUGUGGGGAAAAGUUGUAGGAUGUAUGGAGAGUUGCUUCUUUGUGCCUGUUUCAAACAAUUUGAGAGGAACAAAAUUGAAGAUAUUUUGAAGGAGUUGAGUGGUAAGAAAAUGACAAAAAAAGGGAAUGGAUUACUAGAGGGGUGAGGGAUUCUUUUAGGAUAAGCCUUUGAAAAGACAUUAGAAAAGGGUGAGAAGAUUUUAGUGUUAGAAUUUCUAUUUGAAUGGGAAAUGGUAGAUGUGUAGACUUAUGGGAAAGAGAAGGGGGUAGAGCGGGGGGGCAUUGGGAGAUUCAAUUUAGAAGACUCUUCCAAGAUUAAGAGAUAGAAGAGGUAGAAGAGGUUACCCAUUUUUUAGAGCUUCUUCACUUGUUGAAUGUGCAAGAAAGAGAUGACACAUUAAUUUAGAAAGAUGAUUGAAGGGGAAUUUUCAAUGUCAAGUUGUUUUACACUUCCCUUAAGGAUUAGAAUAACUUAAGUUUUCCAAGCAAAGAGAUCUAGGGAUCCUAUACUCCUCUUAGAACUUUUUUUUUUUUUUGUUUGGGAAGAUAUUUUUUUGGGAAGAUCUUAAUUGUAGAUACUUUAAUGAAGAGGGGAUGGAAAAUGACUAAUAGAUAUAGCCUUUGUAAAGGCAGUGAAGAUCAAAUGAUCACAUUUUGAUUCAUUAUGACAAGACUAGAAACCUAUGGACCUUUUUGUUAGCAGUUUUUGGUGUGGUUUGGGUGUUUCUAGCUUCAGUGAGAAAUCUCCUCCUAGCAUGGAAAUUUAAGGGGCUAAAUAAGAAGAAAAGAGCAAUUUGGCGCUUGGUUCUGAUUUGCUUGUUUUGGUGUAUUUGAAAAGAGCAUAAUUGAAGGAAUUUUGAAGACGAAGAGCGUUCAGGUCUAAGAUUUAAUGAUUUCUUGAUACGAUUGCUUUUAGAGUGGUCCUAAAAUUCUUUAGAGUUGGAGAACCCCUCUAUGUUGAAUUUCUUAGAUGCUCUUUAUUGUGGUUAGAACCUUGCCUUGUUUUUGUAGGCUAACUUUGUUUGAUGCCUUUUUUGGGCUGUUUUGUGUAUACUACCUAUAUACAUAGGUUACGCCCCUCUUUUUAGACGCUUCUUAAUAGAUGUUUUUGUUGUUUAUAAAAAAAAAAGAUCUCAUGUGUAAGGAUAAAAUAUUGGUUUUUAUGGAAAUAUUGGUGGUUGGAUUUUGUGGAUAUAUCGAUGGUUGGAUUUUAUUAAUGUAUCGAGAUAUGUUAAAAAAUGUUGACGGAAGUUUUGAUAAAAAAUAUUUAUGGGACAAAAAUUAAUCAAAACUUGUAGAAAUGUUAGGGAAAACUAAAAAAAAUGAUAUUACAACUUAAAUAAUACAAAUAUUAAAGUUGUUUUAUUGAAGAAAACCAUCUAUGAUAUAUUUGCCGCAUUCACUUAUAAUGUACAAAAUCUAGAACACAUUUACUAAGCAUAUUUAAUAAAAAGUUAAAAGGAAUUUAAAAAUAAUAUAAUUAAAAUUAAUUAAUUUAUUAUUACUGCUUUUUUUCCGUAAAGGUGGUGAUUGAGAAUGCCUUUAAAAUGAUUAUCUUUAUAGUAUUCAAGAGAUAAAAGAAAUGAUAAUCUAUGUAUGUAUUGUAAUGAUUAAAAAUAUUAACAAUUUUAUGUACAAGUUAUGUUUUUCUUGUAUUUAUAUAAGGAAAGACUCGUUAAUAAGAUUAUUAUGAUUUUUUAUGUUUUUAAUAAUAUGUUAAAUGAAAUUCCAAAAAAAAAAAAAAAAAUUAAUAUAAUUGAAGUUAAAGUUUAAGAGGGACAGAUAAAGUUUAUUUACAAUUGUAUCCAUUUAUAUAUUUUAUGGCCAAGUUGCCUAAUUGGUUAGCAAUAUAUCAUCAUGCUAGAGACUUGGGUUCGAAUCCUAGCUCUCCUUCAUUUUCAUUUUAGGCUUGCGUUGACUGGUCAAAGUGCCUUUAGAUGGUGAAAAAAUCGACGAAACUCUGAUAGAAUGGGAAAAAAACUCAAAAAAUUGGUAGAUAGGUACUGCAAGAUAUGUUGUGUUGAUGGGCCCUGACACUUGAUAUAUCCUCAUGUAUUGCCAAUAUUUGAUGGCAUUUUCAUCCUUGCUCAUUUGCACCCAUUUCCAUGGUUUCAGCCUCCUCAAGCUAGUCAUUCUACUGUUUUAGAUUUUAUUGAUUAGUUGGAUUGUCAAGUGGAGUUGUUUUUUGUCUCCUCUCCAUGUAUUGGUGUCAUUUGUAUACC
rnacentral:lncRNA from 1 species